CACUCAACAAUUUCCGUCCACAAUACCAAUAAAAUGUGAGAUGCCACAAACAUCUUGAUAUUUACUGUCUUACCCGAUUACAUAUCCGAUGAUUGCAAGUUGAAUUAUUCGAUUGAUUAAACCAACUUUCUUGUUUUUCAUAUGAACAACCUUACUCGUAUUAUAUUCAAGAACGGCAGCAGCAAAAGAGCUGCAAGCCUUGUUAAAAUUCACCAUUUUUCACAAACUUUUAUUUUGUCAUUUCUCAGAAACUU